rnacentral:rRNA from 1 species
AAUGAACGCUGGCGGCGUGCAUAACACAUGCAAGUCGAACGAGAAACCCCGGGCUUGCUCGGGGGAGUAAAGUGGCGCACGGGUGAGUAACGCGUGGGUAACCUACCUCUGAAUCUGGAAUAACUUCGCGAAAGCGUUGCUAAUACCGGAUAUUGUCCUUUGAACUGCGGUUCUUGGGAUGAAAGGUGACCUCUUCUUGAAAGUUGCCGUUCGGGGAUGGGCCCGCGUACCAUUAGCUAGUUGGUAGGGUAAUAGCCUACCAUGGCGAGGAUGGUUAGCUGGUCGGAGAGGAUGACCAGCCACACUGGCACUGAAACACGGGCCAGACUCCUACGGGAGGCAGCAGUGAGGAAUCUUGCGCAAUGGGGGAAACCCUGACGCAGCAACGCCGCGUGAGCGAAGAAGGCCUUCGGGUCGUAAAGCUCUGUCUAGUGGGAAAAAAGUCCUGGUGUAAAUAGCUCCAGGAUCUGAUGGUACCGCUGGAGGAAGCACCGGCUAACUCCGUGCCAGCCGCCGCAGUAACAC